AUAUUGACGCCCUUUAAGCUCUACUGUCUCCCAGAUUUGUAUUAUUAUAACCAGUUCAUUUCGUUUUCCUAUUCUUAUUGACAAAGUUCGCCUUAAGGAUGGUGGCAUGUUGCUUGCAUGGAAUAUUUCCAAAAAGAGAUAUGCUUUGAUAAAUUAAAUCUUGUUCAUUUGCAAGGAGCAAUCAAAUUUGGUUGUUGUUGCGGCUAAAUUAUGAACUGAGAUCGGAGCGCUGCUCGGCGAGGUCGGUGAGAACCGCACUGAAUGGAGUCGGAUGAGACAGAGGUGAAAAAAAACUGGUCACCUUCGAGGCCAACCUGCAAGAAGUCUACUUGCCGGAAAGUUUCCAACGGAGGACCCUC
rnacentral:lncRNA from 1 species